CUUCGAGACCUGUGGCUCGAGCCGAGCGGAGCGAGACAACGUCACGAAGUGACGGCCCGAAGGGUGAGGCCGCAGGCCGAGUA
rnacentral:sRNA from 1 species